UACGGGGGGAGCAAGCGUUGUUCGGAUUUACUGGGCGUAAAGGGCGCGUAGGCGGCCACCGCAAGUCGGUUGUGAAAUCUCCGGGCUUAACCCGGAAAGGUCAAUCGAUACUGCGGGGCUAGAGUGCAGAAGGGGCAACUGGAAUUCUCGGUGUAGCGGUGAAAUGCGUAGAUAUCGAGAGGAACACCUACGGCGAAGGCGGGUUGCUGGGCUGACACUGACGCUGAAGCGCGAAAGCUAGGGGAGCGAACGGG
rnacentral:rRNA from 1 species